rnacentral:rRNA from 1 species
AUCGAACGCUGGCGGCAGGCUUAACACAUGCAAGUCGAGCGGAGUGAUGGUGCUUGCACUAUCACUUAGCGGCGGACGGGUGAGUAAUGCUUAGGAAUCUGCCUAUUAGUGGGGGACAACAUCUCGAAAGGGAUGCUAAUACCGCAUACGUCCUACGGGAGAAAGCAGGGGAUCACUUGCGACCUUGCGCUAAUAGAUGAGCCUAAGUCGGAUUAGCUAGUUGGUGGGGUAAAGGCCUACCAAGGCGACGAUCUGUAGCGGGUCUGAGAGGAUGGACCGCAACACUGGGGCUGGGACACGGCCCAGACUCCUACGGGAGGCAGCAGUGGGGAAUAUUGGACAAUGGGGGGAACCCUGAUCCAGCCAUGCCGCGUGUGUGGAGAAGGCCUUAUGGUUGUAAGGCACUUUAAGCGAGGAGGAGGCUCUUUUGGUUAAUACCCAAGAUGAGUGGACGUUACUCGCAGAAUAAGCACCGGCUAACUCUGUGCCAGCAGCCGCCGUAA